UUGAUUGUUGUAUUCUACAUAUAAAUUCAUUAGUUGAUAUUUUUAAGGUAAAAAAACUUUCGUUACACUUAACCCUUCUAUAAAUUGCUAAUACGGUAGUCAAUUAAGAAAUGGUGCCGUUUUGAGUUGUGGUGGUCCGGAACAAAAGUUGAGAAAAGGAAAAACGAAGGGUAGGUCGUGUUGGCGUAAAAAGAGAACACCGUUGAAUUUAACAUUUGCCCUUAAAUAAAAUCCCUAGAAAUUAAUUCGAGUUUUUGGCUUUACUUAUAUCAUCAUCAGGAUUUUGGAAAAGAAGAAACCUUGUUGAGAUGAAAGAGCUUGUUUUUUCUUUUCUUUCUUCUCUUUCUCCGUAAUGAGAUUUUAAUUCCUCUUGUGGGUUCUUUUUUUAUUUUCCCAAGAAAACCUUUGAGUUUCUUCUUCUUCCAAUCUCUUUCUUCACUGUUGUUUUCUUCUGUUCAUAUAGUUGUUAGAUCUUAUGUCUUUUCAAGUCCGAAUCUUAAAAAACUUGAUCUCUCCUUUCAUUGAUUUAUACUCAUCCACGAAAAUUCCAUCUCUCGAGACGAUAUUAUUAUUGUUCGAUCUUCUCCGUAGCUUUGUGACGACAGAAUCUAGGGUUUCUUUUUUUUUUCUUUGUUUCUCUUUUUUUUGCUUUCUCUUUCUUCUUGUAUGUUUGUUUUAAGUCUUUGGUUCAUAAAUUUUCCUGCUACAAAACAACAACUGUACAUCACCAUCAUUAAGAAACCCAUCUGCCUCUUUCUCUAUCUCAUAAAUAUUCUCACCGUUCGCUUCUCUCUUCUAAAUGUUCUCUCUGUAGCUUCUCUCUCUCUCUCUCUCUCUCUCUCUCUCUCUCUCUCUCUUUCUCUCUUUCUUUCUCAAGAAAAACCCCUUUUUCCAUAUUACAGUCGGACAGAAAGCAAAUGAGUGAGUGUUUUUUUUUUUUGGAUCUUUAACCUUUUUGGUCAUGUGGGUUUUGACAAAAGAGUCUCUUACAGAGAUCUUUGGCAUUCUGUCCACCUCCUCUCUCUAUAUAAUAUGUUUGUGUAGUAAGCGUAAGUAUCUUCCUUGUGUUUUGUGGGAGGAGGUGGGCAUACUGCCAAUAGAGAUCUGUUAGGGUUUCUUUGUAAAACCCCUCAUGAUGUAUUCAAAGAUCACUCGGAUGAAUGUUAAGAUCUAAGGUUUGAAGAGAAGUUGGUAUUAACUCGAAUCUACUCAAACCUCUUAUUCAUACGUGAUCAUUUACUUAUUCUUAUUUAAGUCAAUUUCACUUGAUAAUUCUAUCUCUUUCGAUUUAAUAUAUCUCUCGGAGUUUGAUGCUUUCUUUGGUUGAGACUGUGAUCCGAAGUUUGCAACGGCGUUGACAAAUGUGAGGUUUAGAAAUAGUGGUGGCGUUUGAGACGUUUACAUCAUCUAGGAAAGGUAAACUAUUCAUAAAGGAAGAGGACCCAUUACUCCCAAUAAAGCUACAGGUAGAUUGAAAUCAUAGGAGAAUAUGGUAAUGAAAAGGAGAAUUUUACUCUUCCUUUUUAUGUUCUUUGAAGCCCACACAAUGUUAUGAUGAUGUCUUCUUUUCCUUAA